AGUGAACGCUGGCGGUAGGCCUAACACAUGCAAGUCGAACGGCAGCACAGUAAGAGCUUGCUCUUACGGGUGGCGAGUGGCGGACGGGUGAGGAAUACAUCGGAAUCUACUUUUUCGUGGGGGAUAACGUAGGGAAACUUACGCUAAUACCGCAUACGACCUACGGGUGAAAGCAGGGGAUCUUCGGACCUUGCGCGAUUGAAUGAGCCGAUGUCGGAUUAGCUAGUUGGCGGGGUAAAGGCCCACCAAGGCGACGAUCCGUAGCUGGUCUGAGAGGAUGAUCAGCCAAACUGGAACUGAGACACGGUCCAGACUCCUACGGGAGGCAGCAGUGGGGAAUAUCGGACAAUGGGCGCAAGCCUGAUCCAGCCAUACCGCGUGGGUGAAGAAGGCCUUCGGGUUGUAAAGCCCUUUUGUUGGGAAAGAAAAGCAGCAGGUUAAUACCCCGCUGUUCUGACGGUACCCAAAGAAUAAGCACCGGCUAACUUCGU
rnacentral:rRNA from 1 species